rnacentral:rRNA from 1 species
UACGUGGGGUGCGAGCGUUAAUCGGAAUUACUGGGCGUAAAGCGUGCGCAGGCGGUGCGCCAAGCUCGAUGUGAAAGCCCCGGGCUUAACCUGGGAAUUGCAUUGAGGACUGGCGUGCUCGAGUGCGGCAGAGGGGGGUGGAAUUCCACGUGUAGCAGUGAAAUGCGUAGAGAUGUGGAGGAACACCGAUGGCGAAGGCAGCCCCCUGGGCCGACACUGACGCUCAGGCACGAAAGCGUGGGGAGCAAACAGG